rnacentral:rRNA from 1 species
UACGAAGGGGGCUAGCGUUGCUCGGAAUCACUGGGCGUAAAGCGCACGUAGGCGGCUUUCUAAGUCAGGGGUGAAAUCCUGGAGCUCAACUCCAGAACUGCCUUUGAUACUGGGGAGCUCGAGUCCGGAAGAGGUGAGUGGAACUCCGAGUGUAGAGGUGAAAUUCGUAGAUAUUCGGAAGAACACCAGUGGCGAAGGCGGCUCACUGGUCCGGUACUGACGUUGAGGUGCGAAAGCGUGGGGAGCAAACAGG